AAUACAGGGUCCUAAGAUCCAUUCCAAACCUAUUGAGUCAGAAUCUGCAUUUUCAUUUAUGGGUGAUUUCUGUGCACCUCCAAGCUGGAGAGUCACUACUCCAACCCACCAGUCUGGCCGAGUUACCAUCCUGGUGUCAUCUUGCCGAAGGUCACAGAGGAACCCAAGGACUAAAAGCCACUGUGAUUUUCAUCAUGCUGAAUGAUCCUAAAACCACACAAUCUAAAAGUAACCUUGAAACUGAACCAGAAAAGAAUCCCCUG